rnacentral:rRNA from 1 species
AGCGAACGCUGGCGGCAGGCCUAACACAUGCAAGUCGAACGGAUCCUUCGGGAUUAGUGGCGGACGGGUGAGUAACACGUGGGAACGUGCCCUUUGGUUCGGAACAACUCAGGGAAACUUGAGCUAAUACCGGAUGUGCCCUUCGGGGGAAAGAUUUAUCGCCAUUGGAGCGGCCCGCGUCUGAUUAGCUAGUUGGUGAGGUAACGGCCCACCAAGGCGACGAUCAGUAGCUGGUCUGAGAGGAUGAUCAGCCACACUGGGACUGAGACACGGCCCAGACUCCUACGGGAGGCAGCAGUGGGGAAUCUUGCGCAAUGGGCGAAAGCCUGACGCAGCCAUGCCGCGUGAAUGGUGAAGGUCUUAGGAUUGUAAAAUUCUUUCAGCGGGGACGAUAAUGACGGUACCCGCAGAAGAAGCUCCGGCUAACUUCGUG